GGAGCAUCUGCAGCCUGCAGCGUCUCCUCCUAUAGCACCUCUACCCUGUGUACCUCCACCCACUGUUAAUAGGACUCCUAGCAUCUCCUUAUCACCAUCCCUACAGUUUGAUGGCAAUAUCCAGGAAUGCAGGGAUUUUCUUAAUCAGGUGGAGUACCAUUUUGAGGCCUCACCAGGGUCAUUCCCCACGGACAGAGCAAG